GCCAGUGUGGUGUAAUGGUUUAAGCAUUGGACUAUGGCUCUAGAGAUCAAGGUUCAAUUUCCUGCUCGGCCA